UUGCAACAGCACCAUCGACACAUACACGUCUUGGGAAGGAAUAAUGUAAUGUUUUCAGACUCAGAAGAUGGGAGAACUUAUGAAGACGACAUGGUAGAGUGACCCCGUGAGAAUGUGUGUGUGUUCUGAGGUCUUGGGAAGGAAUAAUGUAAUGUUUUCAGAAUCAGAAGAUGGGAGAACUUAUGAAGACGACAUGGUAGAGUGACCCCGUGAGAAUGUGUGUGUGUUCUGAGGUCUUGGGAAGGAAUAAUGUUAUGUUUUCAGACUCAGAAGAUGGGAGAACUUAUGAAGACAGCACGAUAGAGUUAGGACGUGAGAAUGUGUGUGUGUUCUGAGGUCUUGGGAAGGAAUAAUGUAAUGUUUUCAGACUCAGAAGAUGGGAGAACUUAUGAAGACGACAUGAUAGAGUUAGGACGUGAGAAUGUGUGUGUGUUCUGAGGUCUUGGGAAGGAAUAAUGUAAUGUUUUCAGACUCAGAAGAUGGGAGAACUUAUGAAGACGACACGAUAGAGUUAGGACGUGAGAAUGUAUGUGUGUUCUGAGGUCUUGGGAAGGAAUAAUGUAAUGUUUUCAGACUCAGAAGAUGGGAGAACUUAUGAAGACAGCACGAUAGAGUUAGGACGUGAGAAUGUGUGUGUGUUCUGAGGUCUUGGGAAGGAAUAAUGUUAUGUUUUCAGACUCAGAAGAUGGGAGAACUUAUGAAGACAGCACGAUAGAGUUAGGACGUGAGAAUGUGUGUGUGUUCUGAGGUCUUGGGAAGGAAUAAUGUUAUGUUUUCAGACUCAGAAGAUGGGAGAACUUACGAAGACACGAUAGAGUUAGGACGUGAGAAUGUGUGUGUGUUCUGAGGUCUUGGGAAGGAAUAAUGUAAUGUUUUCAGAAUCAGAAGAUGGGAACAACUUACGAAGACACGAUAGAGUUAGGACGUGAGAAUGUGUGUGCGUUCUGAGGUUCAUACUAUUCGAAAAUGAUAACA